ACUCACCCCAUUCAGUAAUAGACCCCUAACCUCUGGCUGAGUUACUGAUGUCCUCAAAUCAUGAUUUAAAACUGAGAAUUCACCAUUUACUCUAGUUUAAACCAGCAAGUGACCUGUGCCCCAUGCCGCAGAGGAAGGUGAAAAACUCCCAGACAUGUCUCCUGCUCCACCCCCAAGCUGGCCUGGGUGGCAGUGGUGGCUCCAACUCCCAGGACCACUUGCUGCUUUGUUACUGUAAAUAAGGAAUCUACAUUCUUCAGAGAGUGAAAUGUGCCUUAGCUUUGUGAAACUUCAUCUACAAAUGCAAAGAAAUAAUUCACUAAGCACUCAGUGGAGCAAAUGCCGUGUCUCUCCUAUAUCACGCUCACCAAGGUGUGACGAAGUGGGAAUGUUCUUAAUGUUUUCUCUGAAUACUGUGUGGGUGUCUCAAUUUCCCUUAGGCAUUUCUUAAUUAUCUAGGUGGUGGAAUAAGGGGAUGUGAUUGUGGCAGAGCCCUAGAGGGCCAGUGUGAUGCUGUCUGCACAGAGAAUGGUCGACACCCUGUCUCCUGGCAACUGAUGGCCUGGGCCCCACCUCUGUAAAGCUGCCAACUGAAGGUGUUGGAGAACAAAGAGAUCAGGUGGCCUCCUGGCCUGGGAAAGAGACAAAGGCCAGAGGAGGGGCAAGAGAGUUUCAAUUUGGAGCUGGCCAGGGAAAUGGAGAGAGGCCCAGGUGGGGCUCUGGGCUCCCUGCCCCCCAAGAUGGACCUGACUGAGGGGUCCUGUUUCCGGUACCUACAAGCUCUGUUUUAGACCGUGUUCCUGUCGUCUAAUAAACUUUCUGUUUUACUGGCUGUCUCAAAGUCACGUCUGACUGCGGAAUUGGGGUGGAGGGCCCUCUGGCUUCCCCAGCAGCCCCGCCUGUGCGGACUCGCUGUGGGAAGUGCAUGGUGUGGAAGGGGAUGCUGAAUGCUCCAAGGUCAGACUCAGGAAGAUCGAAUCUGUGUAAGCUUCUUGCCCUGGAGACAGUAUGCUCACAGAGAGGAGGCUUCCCCAGAGUCCUGACUGGCUGCUCGGUGACUCCGUGACACCAGGCUACAGAAUUUCUACCAGUUGCUAGUCGCUCACGUCUGCACAAUUGGAGUAAAACAGUGGCUGCCUUGCAGGGCACAGGUUUCUCUCCCCACUUUACUUUCAGUCCCUCCCACUCAUUCCUGUCUUUGGGGUGUGGUGAGGGACUUCCAAGAUCCUCAUUUCACUCUCUGCUUAUUAGUGUUGGGCAAACAGACCAUUAUUUGUAUUUGGCUAAUAUUUAUAUUGGGGGGAAGGUGUUCCUCUUGUUUGGA